ACGGAACUCCAUAGUCCUUGCAGAAAGACAAUGUUUGAAAUCUACCGUCGCUGCGGGCGAUGCGGAUUCCCUUAAGCUACUGAGCAUGAAUGUCCAUCACUUGUCCACUCAUUGCCGGGUCGCCGGUGGAAAGCACGCAAGGCACGCAGCUGAUGGAGACCUUUGCACUUUGCAAGCACGCUGGAGGCAGAGCCACCCCGACGACAACGCGCGCGCGCGCGAGGCAGCGGUGCCGAGCGGCCCCAGCCCUGGGCGGAGAGCGCAGGGGUCCUGCGAGGUCUCCCCGGCCUCUCCGGUGGGCUCCCGCCCCUGCGCCUCGGCCACGCCGCUCGCCUUCCUGCCCCGCUCGUGGAAGAGGGGCCGCGAAGCUCCGCGUGCGGGGAACGCGCAGGGCGAGGAAGCCGCGUUACUUGAGGAGAGGCUUUGGAGGCGAGAUGGGUUCAGUCAGUGUCACGAUUUAUCAACAGUUAUUUGUUUAGCUCUCCAACCCGAUUACUUUGAGUCUGUCCGGAGUAUUUGUGCUAUUCACACACACGCUAUGGAGCAAGCGCAUAUGCUGCCGAACAAAGGCCUCGUAUGAAGCUGAAAUUGAUAGGAUUACUAAGGCCGAUUGUUAAAUCAAACCUGUAUUUUAAACACAUAAAAAAAAUCAAUAACAGUUAUCAAUUAAUUCCUUCCCUGCGAUCACUUCUGUCUGCAAAAAUCAGGCACAGGAUGCAGUCAACCUUUCAGUGAUUUCGGGAACAAUAAGAAAAAUUGGACCUAAAACAAUAAAACCUCCUGCUUUCCGUGGGCCUCUGCCUUCUGCUUGGAUUGCUGUAGCUGAUGGGAACUGACAGGUGUAUUGUUUCGGAGAGCUAUAAGCUCCAUAAUCAUCAAGGGUGAAAGGCAUACGCUAUUGCUAAGUAGGUUCAAUUGGCUUUAGUUCUAAGUAAUAGUGCGCUGUGAAUGCUAUGAACACCUUGGAAUCAGGUCUCAAGGCUCUCGCAAUGAAUAGCUGCUUAAUCUAGCCUAAAGGAACAUUUUUGAACUAAUGAAAAUUGCUUAUAAAAUAUACUGUACUCACAGCUCUUUAAUCAAAAAAGAUGAUAAUAUUUUUUGUAAUAACCUAUUAAUUUAAUUGGUCACGAAGCAUAAAAUACAUCAUUUAAAUUUAAUUGACCCAGAAACUAAGAAACAAUAUUUAAAUUAACUAAGCUAGAAAUUUCCAUGAUGAGGUAAUAAGACUGUUGCAUUCCCAAGCGCAGUGGAAUGUUUUCGCAGCUAAUUGUUAAAACUUAUUUUUGACUCGCACCCAGAGAAGACAACUACAAAAUACACUUGGCCUUGGCAACUUCAAACACCACAUUAAUAUAAUCAGAGGCACAACAAAGAUGCCAAAAUAACUGCUUUUAACUUCAGAAGCAAAGCAAAAGAAACAGAAUUAGGGGUCAUUUAAACAUGGUACCAGUGCCUUAGUGUUUCAAGCAGCUUUACUCUUCUUUAAAAAAAAAAAAAACACAAAAUUUGUAUAAUGUAUUUUCCCCUAAAAAAAGACAAGAGCAAAAAAAAAAAAAAAAACUGGGACAGUUUUUCUAGGCUUUCUUCACGAGGCCUGCCACUGAAGAUUGCAUUAAUGAUCUCUAUUUUUGUAUACUGAAUAAGUCAAAUCCAUUUGUCACACUGCAAGUGAUGGCAUACUUAAUUUGGAUAUAGUCAAUUAGCCUGGGCUAAGCUCCAUAGCCUGCUGUGCACACCUCUAUUUUGUAUUCUCUCUUUUUCCUUUGCCACACGUAAUCCCAUUAUGACGGACAGACAAAGAGAAAUAAACUUGAAAAAAAAAAAGAGAGAAAAAAAUCAAAGUUGAGUCGCUCGCUUUCCAAGACGUUAACUAGCCCUAAGUGAAGCUGGUGUUUAUUUUCCCUAAAAGAAGUCUCUGUUUGGCUUUUUUGGUGUCUCGCAGGUUAGUGCAGAAACGUAACUCAUGCAUCAACUGCGGUUAGACAGAUUUAUGACACUUUGGGGACAUGCUCUUUCCUCUCCCUGCGCUGCUGCCGACCGCUCACAUUUUGCAAAUCAGCCCGUUGCCAGGGCAACGGGCUCCCCCCGGCCCCCCUCGCCGGCGGGUCCCGCGUUCGUCACGCGGUCAGCGGCGCGCAGGAGCCAGGCGCAGCCCGAGCGCGCGGCCCCCGCGGCGGCACGGGAAGGCCGGAACAAGCAUGAGGCUAUGGGCAGGGAGAAGGUGGGGACAUGCGGGGCGGGACGCGUCCCGCGGCCCCCGCGAGAGCCACGAGCCCCGACGGUACUUACUUCCCCCUGGCUUUGCCAUUGGUUACCUAGGUGGAGGUUACAUGUAGUGCCACUGCCCCUCCAUGCCCAUAUUCAUGCCCAUUCCACUCAUAGGUCCUAGAGGGAGAGAAAAAUCCAAGAAGAUGCCGGGAGAUGAGCACAGUCAACGGAUAGUGCCAAAAGACCCCUGCACGCACGCGGGCUGCAGCAGGCCGCGGAAGGCUCCGGCGCGCAGGGCGGCGAGCCCGGCUCCCCGCGGCAGCGUUGCGGAGGACAGGCCGGCGAGGCAAGCGGGCGGGCGGGCGGGCGCGACCACGGCCACGGCGCUCCGGGGCCUUACCUGGCGCUCUGAUCCCCAUGUGCUGCUGCCCGUCCAUCACGAAACCGCCCAUCGGCUGCCCGUCGGGGUUGUACGGUGUUCCUUGGCUGACUACAAAAGCGCAGAACGUUGCUUUUUAGCGCGUGCAAACAGGCCGAGGUCAUCUUACCGUGGAUGGCCAAGAAACAAAUCCCCACCGCAGACCCGACAUCGCAGCACGAGAACCGCAAAGAUGACUAUCAACGUGGGCUCUAACAAGUUAAAAAAAAACACUACUUUUCCAAUUUAGCAGAUGGACUAGCGGGUUUGCGUACCAGCGGCUUAAUUUCCUAAUGAGAGUUCUGAAAUAAAGUUAGCAAAAGGAAAGAGCGAGCCGUGAUGAGCCUCUGCUCCAGCUGCUGCUGCUGCUGCUGACGUCAAUGCAAAGACCUGCCGAGGAGCCGAGUUUUAUGGAUUGAAUAGCCACGCUGAAAUCUCAGUGUGUUAAAUUACACCCGUGUGCAUUUAUAAGAGCAGGGCCUGAUACAUGUGCAUGGCAAAUAUUUACCUCUAAUGGCAAAAUAAUCAAAUGUACUUGAGGAGAAAGCACUGCCCAAAGGCAUCUUGGAUAACAAGUGAUUUUGACAGUGUGGCAACAAGGCUCGGGAAACAAAAGCGACUCGGAGCCCUGUGUUAUUCCUCACCGGUAAAUACCCACACAGAGCUGCAAGCCAGGACUCCGGGAAGAACCGGCAUGGGAAACACACGAUUAAAAAAAAUCCCCUCAAAGGAAACCCAAAACACUCGAAGAUCCUCAAAGACAGAUAUAAAAAGGAAGAAACUAGAGACAAAAGACCCAGAUACAAGUGCCACUACCUGAAUUCUGGGUUUUAACUGUACAUUAAAAGCCAGCUUCAGAAGUAAGCUGCCUUGGGUUAUUAAAGCACAUAAAGCUCUACCUCAUUGAA